GGAAGGGUGCAGGAGUGGUUGAACUGGCACGCCUGGAACGCGUGUAGAGGAGCAAUCUUCUCGAGGGUUCGAAUCCCUCUCCUUCCGCCA
rnacentral:tRNA from 1 species